AACGAACGCUGGCGGCAUGCCUAACACAUGCAAGUCGAACGAGACCUUCGGGUCUAGUGGCGCACGGGUGCGUAACGCGUGGGAACCUUCCCUUAGGUUCGGAAUAACUCCCCGAAAGGGGUGCUAAUACCGGAUAAUUUCUUCGGACCAAAGAUUUAUCGCCUUUUGAUGGGCCCGCGUUGGAUUAGCUAUUUGGUAGGGUAAAAGCCUACCAAGGCGACGAUCCAUAGCUGGUCUGAGAGGAUGAUCAGCCACACUGGGACUGAGACACGGCCCAGACUACUACGGGAGGCAGCAGUGGGGAAUAUUGGAAAAUGGGCGAAAGCCUGAUCCAGCAAUGCCGCGUGAGUGAUGAAGGCCUUAGGGUUGUAAAGCUCUUUUACCCGGGAUGAUAAUGACAGUACCGGGAGAAUAAGCUCCGGCUAACUCCGUG
rnacentral:rRNA from 1 species